AUGACAGAUCAGGCCUUUGUGACCCUGAGCACUAAUGAUGCCUAUGCCAAAGGUGCCCUGGUCCUGGGCUCAUCUUUGAAACAGCACAGGACUACCAGGCAGCUGGUUGUGCUCACAGGUAUCAGAUUCCAUGAGAAAAGCUUUAGAGACAGUCUUUGAUAAAGUCAUGAUGGUAAAUGUCUUGGACAGUGGCAAUUCUGCUCAUCUAAUCUUAAUGAAGAGGCCCGAGUUGGGUUUCACACUGAUGACGAAACUCCAUUGCUGGUCACUUACAGAGUAUUCUAAAUGUGUGUUCAUUGAUGCAGAUACUUUGGUCCUCACAAAUAUUGAUGAUCUUUUUGAAAGAGAAGAAUUAUCAGCAGCACUGGACCCUGGGUGGCCUGACUGCUUCAAUUCUGGAGUCUUUGUCUUUCAGCCCUCAAUUGAAACAUACAACCAGCUGUUGCAACUUGCUUCUGAACAAGGUAGUUUUGAUGGUGGGGACAAGGGCUUACUGAAUACAUUUUUUAGCAACUGGGCAACCACAGAUAUCAGGAAACACCUGCCUUUUAUUUAUAACCUAAGCAGCAUUGCAGUGUACUCCUACCUCCCAGCAUUUAAAGUGUUUGGUGCAAGUGCCAAAGUUGUACACUUCCUGGAACGAAUCAAACCAUGGAAUUAUACUUAUGAUCCCCAGAAAAAAAGUGUCAGAAGUGAAUCUCAGGAUCCCACCAUGAUUCAUCCAGAGUUUCUGAACCUGUGGUGGGACGUCUUGACCACCAAUGUUUUACCACUGCUUUAACAAUUUGGUCUCAUCAAAGAUACCUGCUCAUAUCUAACAAUGGAACAUGUCUCAGGAGCCAUGUCACACCUGUCCCUUGGGGAGGUUCCAGCUACACCACAACCUUUUGUGUCCUCAGAAGAACGGAAGGAAGGGUGGGAACAGGGCCAGGCUGAUUAUAUGGGAACAGAUUCUUUUGGUAAUAUCAAGAGGAAACUGGACACUUACCUCCAGUAG